rnacentral:rRNA from 1 species
UUGUCGGAGAGUUUGAUCCUGGCUCAGGACAAACGCUGGCGGCGUGCAUAAAACAUGCAAGUCGAACGGACUUCAGUCCGCAAGGACUGAAGUGAGUGGCGAACGGCUGA